AUUGAACGCUGGCGGCAGGCCUAACACAUGCAAGUCGAGCGGAAGAACGGAGCUUGCUCCUGGUUUCAGCGGCGGACGGGUGAGUAAUGCCUAGGAAUCUGCCUGGUUGUGGGGUAUAACGUCCUGAAACGGGCGCUAAUACCGCAUACGUCCUGAGGCUGAAAGUGGGGGAUCUUCGGACCUCACGCUAUCAGAUGAGCCUAGGUCGGAUUAGCUAGUUGGUGGGGUAAAGGCCUACCAAGGCGACGAUCCGUAGCUGGUCUGAGAGGAUGAUCAGCCACACUGGAACUGAGACACGGUCCAGACUCCUACGGGAGGCAGCAGUGGGGAAUAUUGGACAAUGGGCGAAAGCCUGAUCCAGCCAUGCCGCGUGUGUGAAGAAGGUCUUCGGAUUGUAAAGAACUUUUAGUUGGGAGGAAGGGCAGUAGGUUAAUACCUUGCUGUUUUGACGGUACCGACAGAAUAAGCACCGGCUAACUACGUG
rnacentral:rRNA from 1 species